rnacentral:pre_miRNA from 1 species
CAGCAUCUCCUGCUCUGCCCACUCUACCCGCCACGUGGUGGCUGGGCGAGGGCCUUGGGGCAGUGC